CCUACGGGAGGCAGCAGUAGGGAAUCUUGCGCAAUGGGCGAAAGCCUGACGCAGCAACGCCGCGUGAGGGAUGGAGGCCUUCGGGUUGUAAACCUCUUUCAGCAGGGACGCGGUACCUGCAGAAGAAGCCCCGGCCAACUACGUGCCAGCAGCCGCGGUAAUACGUAGGGGGCGAGCGUUGUCCGGAAUUAUUGGGCGUAAAGAGCUCGUAGGCGGUUUGGUAAGUCGGGUGUGAAACCUCCAGGCUCAACCUGGAGAUGCCACUCGAUACUGCAUGACUAGAGUCCGGUAGGGGUCCACGGAAUUCCUGGUGUAGCGGUGAAAUGCGCAGAUUCAGGAGGAACACCGGUGGCGAAGGCGGUGGGCUGGGCCGGACUGACGCUGAGGACGAAAGCGUGGGGAGCGAACAGGAUUAGAUACCCUUGUAGUC
rnacentral:rRNA from 1 species